UACGAGAGGCCCAAACGUUAUUCGGAAUUACUGGGCUUAAAGAGUUCGUAGGCGGCGCAGAAAGUAGGGUGUGAAAGCCCUCGGCUCAACCGAGGAAUUGCGCUCUAAACUACUGUGCUUGAGGAAGCUAGAGGUGAGCAGAACUGAUGGUGGAGCGGUGAAAUGCGUUGAUAUCGAGAGGAACACCGGUGGCGAAGGCGGCAUCCUGGACCAACACUGACACUGAGGAGCGAAAGCCAGGGGAGCAAACGGG
rnacentral:rRNA from 1 species